rnacentral:misc_RNA from 1 species
UUUCCGUAGGUGAACCUGCGGAAGGAUCAUUACUGAGUGAGGGUCUCCGGGCCCGACCUCCAACCCUUUUGUGAACCACCUCGUUGCUUCGGGGGCGACCCGGCCUUCGGGCGUCGGGGCCCCCGGAGCCCAUCAAACCCUGCGUAACUAAGUCGUCGGAGUUUAAACAAAUUAAACAAAACUUUCAACAACGGAUCUCUUGGUUCGGGCAUCGAUGAAGAACGCAGC